rnacentral:misc_RNA from 1 species
GUAGGUGAACCUGCGGAAGGAUCAUUCAUAAUAAGUGUUUUAUGGCACUUUUUUAAAUCCAUAUCCACCUUGUGUGCAAUGUCAGGGUUGAUUUUUCUCUCGAGAGGAUCAGCCCCAAACAUCAACUAUAUCUCAACUCUUUGUCUGAAAAAUAUUAUGAAUAAAACAAUACAAAAUACAACUUUCAACAACGGAUCUCUUGGCUCUC